GAUGAACGCUGGCGGCGUGCCUAAUACAUGCAAGUCGAGCGAACAGACGAGGAGCUUGCUCCUCUGACGUUAGCGGCGGACGGGUGAGUAACACGUGGAUAACCUACCUAUAAGACUGGGAUAACUUCGGGAAACCGGAGCUAAUACCGGAUAAUAUAUUGAACCGCAUGGUUCAAUAGUGAAAGACGGUUUUGCUGUCACUUAUAGAUGGAUCCGCGCCGAAUUAGCUAGUUGGUAAGGUAACGGCUUACCAAGGCAACGAUGCGUAGCCGACCUGAGAGGGUGAUCGGCCACACUGGAACUGAGACACGGUCCAGACUCCUACGGGAGGCAGCAGUAGGGAAUCUUCCGCAAUGGGCGAAAGCCUGACGGAGCAACGCCGCGUGAGUGAUGAAGGUCUUCGGAUCGUAAAACUCUGUUAUUAGGGAAGAACAAAUGUGUAAGUAACUAUGCACGUCCUGACGGUACCUAAUCAGAAAGCCACGGCUAACUACGUG
rnacentral:rRNA from 1 species